UAACCAGACUCCUACGGGAGGCAGCAGUGAGGGAUAUUGGGCAAUGGGGGAAACCCUGACCCAGCGACGCCGCGUGAGGGAAGACGGUCCUCGGAUUGUAAACCUCUGUCUUUGGGGACGAAAAAGGACGGUACCCAAGGAGGAAGCCCCGGCUAACUACGUGCCAGCAGCCGCGGUAAUACGUAGGGGGCAAGCGUUAUCCGGAAUUACUGGGUGUAAAGGGAGCGCAGACGGCAGUGCAAGUCUGGAGUGAAAGCCCGUGGCUUAACCACGGGACUGCUCUGGAAACUGUGCAGCUAGAGUGCAGGAGAGGCAGGCGGAAUUCCUAGUGUAGCGGUGAAAUGCGUAGAUAUUAGGAGGAACACCGGUGGCGAAGGCGGCCUGCUGGACUGUAACUGACGUUGAGGCUCGAAAGCGUGGGGAGCAAACAGGAUUAGAUACCCCUGUAUG
rnacentral:rRNA from 1 species